rnacentral:rRNA from 1 species
UUGAACGCUGGCGGCAGGCCUAACACAUGCAAGUCGAACGGUAACAGGAAACAGCUUGCUGUUUCGCUGACGAGUGGCGGACGGGUGAGUAAUGUCUGGGAAACUGCCUGAUGGAGGGGGAUAACUACUGGAAACGGUAGCUAAUACCGCAUAACGUCGCAAGACCAAAGAGGGGGACCUUCGGGCCUCUUGCCAUCAGAUGUGCCCAGAUGGGAUUAGCUAGUAGGUGGGGUAACGGCUCACCUAGGCGACGAUCCCUAGCUGGUCUGAGAGGAUGACCAGCCACACUGGAACUGAGACACGGUCCAGACUCCUACGGGAGGCAGCAGUGGGGAAUAUUGCACAAUGGGCGCAAGCCUGAUGCAGCCAUGCCGCGUGUAUGAAGAAGGCCUUCGGGUUGUAAAGUACUUUCAGCGGGGAGGAAGGGAGUAAAGUUAAUACCUUUGCUCAUUGACGUUACCCGCAGAAGAAGCACCGGCUAACUCCGUG